rnacentral:lncRNA from 1 species
CACAAAUGAACUAUCCAUCUCAAUAAACGAACUGUACAAUACAAUAAGCUCAGUUCGUGGUUUUAUUACGUCACAUUAACUCCAAGAACAUACACGCACAUAAAUCAAAAUGCAAAAUUCAAAGAGAAACCAUGUAACACCAUUCAACUUAAACUUAUAGUGCAUAUUACAUAAACAUGACUUACAAAUCAAAAGAUCAAUCUUUAAUCAAUUAAAUGUAAGGAACUAAUUCACGGAUCUCUUCCCUCUUGUUUCUCCUGCUCUUCUGUAACUCUUGUUAUCUUGCGGAUAGUUGUAUUGAGUAAUAUCUCCACGUCCUCUUCUUUAGAUAUUUGAGCAAGAUUUUUGGACAAACGGGACAAAUCGUCAAUGAAAUCCUUGUUCUUUCCACGUUCUCUGCAGCUAUGGCAAUCCCUCCUGUUCUUUCCAUCCAUUGAAAAAUUCUAUUGCACCCACAACAAUUAACCAUAUCAGCAUAAAACACGAGAUUUUCAAUAAAAUAUAAUGAUAAAAUGAUGCCUGCUGAAACUGAAGCCAUGAAAGAAGACACAAAUUCUUAAACUGAAAGAAAGUCAGAAGCCAUGAAACUUCCUGGCAACAACACAAGGUCCACUCCAGACACAAUUUCCAAAUAAUAAUCUUGAUUAAUUAUCCUUGUGAUUAUGAAUUAAUUAAAGGGUAUGUAAUCUCCAUUAAAAUACUCGUGAAAAAUCAAAAAAGCUAAAAAAAGAAAAAAAACGAAAAUGAGAACUUGCUUGCGAAUCGAGGAUCUGUGAAGAAGAUAUGCUGAUGAUGUUCUUCACAUUAUAUGAAAAAAGAACAAAAUAUUUAGGAGAAAAUACAUCCAUUACAGAUUCUAAAAUAAGAAGAGAAAGACGCCGACCGAAGUAGUAAUUACUGUCGCCGGCGUCGAGGGUCCUAGAUACUAACCUCCGUUCCGGCCAUAUUUGUUCUUCAGCCUGCCGUUUUUGGGGAGAGAGAGAGAGAAUAGAAGUGAGAAAUAACGAGGCGUUUUCCAAUUCUUUUUGGCAUAAAUUCACCAGUGGCCACCCUUUUCACCGGAAUAAAGUUGAAAAAAUAAAGUUGGCGGUCAUGGUAAAUCAAAAAGAGCAAUACUACGUAGUUUCACUGGUUUAAUCU